rnacentral:rRNA from 1 species
UACAGAGGGGGCAAGCGUUGCUCGGAAUCACUGGGCGUAAAGGGCGCGUAGGCGGGAUGGCAAGUCAGUCGUGAAAUCUCUCGGCUCAACCGAGAAACGUCGGCUGAUACUGCCGUUCUUGAGGGAUGCAGAGGAGACUGGAAUUCCCGGUGUAGCGGUGAAAUGUGUAGAGAUCGGGAGGAACACCAGUGGCGAAGGCGGCUUUCUGGGCAUUUCCUGACGCUGAGACGCGAAAGCGUGGGGAGCGAACCGG